AGUGCUUAUUAUCUCUAUCGAGAAGAUUCAAAUUUGUUAGAUAUUAUUUAUUCUAGUAAUUGGGACACGAAAUAGAUAGAGUGGAUCCAAAAAAAUGGGACUAUGAUUCAUACUCACUAUUAAGAUCUUGCAACCAAACUUAAAAAACAAGCUCCUAAAUGGUGCUCCAAGCGCCAGUUUAGGCUCCUCGCGCCUAAAGGCAACCCAAAUGAGCCAGCCCAUGAAACCAACGGACACAACGAAUAG
rnacentral:rRNA from 1 species